GGGCGCUUAGCUCAGCGGUAGAGCGCCUCGUUUACACCGAGGAUGCCGGGGGUUCAGAUCCCUCAGCGCCCA
rnacentral:tRNA from 1 species